UGGAGAAGGGGAGCACGUGCAAACUCACUGGACACGAGGGUCUUUGCACGUGCCCUGCUUCUCCAAC
rfam:Nelumbo nucifera unplaced genomic scaffold scaffold00059, whole genome shotgun sequence